rnacentral:rRNA from 1 species
UCAUUGGAGAGUUUGAUCCUGGCUCAGGACGAACGCUGGCGGCGUGCUUAACACAUGCAAGUCGAACGGAAAGGCCCUGCUUUUGUGGGGUGCUCGAGUGGCGAACGGGUGAGUAACACGUGAGUAACCUGCCCUUGACUUUGGGAUAACUUCAGGAAACUGGGGCUAAUACCAGGCUUCUGCGGGUCCUGUUGUGGGGCUGGGAAUUGCUGUGAUCGUUGGUGGUGGACUCGCGGCUUAUCAGCUUGUUGGUGGGGUAGUGGCUUACCAAGGCUUUGACGGGUAGCCGGCCUGAGAGGGUGACCGGCCACAUUGGGACUGAGAUACGGCCCAGACUCCUACGGGAGGCAGCAGUGGGGAAUAUUGCACAAUGGGCGGAAGCCUGAUGCAGCAACGCCGCGUGCGGGAUGACGGCCUUCGGGUUGUAAACCGCUUUCGCCUGUGACGAAGCGUGAGUGACGGUAAUGGGUAAAGAAGCACCGGCUAACUACGUGCCAGCAGCCGCGGUGAUACGUAGGGUGCGAGCGUUGUCCGGAUUUAUUGGGCGUAAAGGGCUCGUAGGUGGUUGAUCGCGUCGGAAGUGUAAUCUUGGGGCUUAACCCUGAGCGUGCUUUCGAUACGGGUUGACUUGAGGAAGGUAGGGGAGAAUGGAAUUCCUGGUGGAGCGGUGGAAUGCGCAGAUAUCAGGAGGAACACCAGUGGCGAAGGCGGUUCUCUGGGCCUUUCCUGACGCUGAGGAGCGAAAGCGUGGGGAGCGAACAGGCUUAGAUACCCUGGUAGUCCACGCUGUAAACGGUGGGUACUAGGUGUGGGGUCCAUUCCACGGGUUCCGUGCCGUAGCUAACGCUUUAAGUACCCCGCCUGGGGAGUACGGCCGCAAGGCUAAAACUCAAAGGAAUUGACGGGGCCCCGCACAAGCGGCGGAGCAUGCGGAUUAAUUCGAUGCAACGCGUAGAACCUUACCUGGGUUUGACAUGGAUCGGGAGUGCUCAGAGAUGGGUGUGCCUCUUUUGGGGUCGGUUCACAGGUGGUGCAUGGCUGUCGUCAGCUCGUGUCGUGAGAUGUUGGGUUAAGUCCCGCAACGAGCGCAACCCUUGUUCACUGUUGCCAGCACGUUAUGGUGGGGACUCAGUGGAGACCGCCGGGGUCAACUCGGAGGAAGGUGGGGAUGACGUCAAGUCAUCAUGCCCCUUAUGUCCAGGGCUUCACGCAUGCUACAAUGGCUGGUACAGAGAGUGGCGAGCCUGUGAGGGUGAGCGAAUCUCGGAAAGCCGGUCUCAGUUCGGAUUGGGGUCUGCAACUCGACCUCAUGAAGUCGGAGUCGCUAGUAAUCGCAGAUCAGCAACGCUGCGGUGAAUACGUUCCCGGGGCUUGUACACACCGCCCGUCAAGUCAUGAAAGUUGGUAACACCCGAAGCCGGUGGCCUAACCGUUGUGGGGGAGCCGUCGAAGGUGGGACUGGUGAUUAGGACUAAGUCGUAACAAGGUAGCCGUACCGGAAGGUGCGGCUGGAUCACCUCCUUU